rnacentral:rRNA from 1 species
UAGUUCUUCGGAAUUAGAGACCGGCGCACGGGUGCGUAACGCGUAUGCAAUCUACCUUUUGCAGAGGGAUAGCCCAGAGAAAUUUGGAUUAAUACCUCAUAGUAUAGCACAACCGCAUGGUUGAGUUAUUAAAGUCACAACGGCAAAAGAUGAGCAUGCGUCCCAUUAGCUAGUUGGUAAGGUAACGGCUUACCAAGGCAACGAUGGGUAGGGGUCCUGAGAGGGAGAUCCCCCACACUGGUACUGAGACACGGACCAGACUCCUACGGGAGGCAGCAGUGAGGAAUAUUGGUCAAUGGGCGCAAGCCUGAACCAGCCAUGCCGCGUGCAGGAUGACGGUCCUAUGGA